AGCGAACGCUGGCGGCAGGCCUAACACAUGCAAGUCGAACGAACUCUUCGGAGUUAGUGGCGGACGGGUGAGUAACACGUGGGAACGUGCCUUUAGGUUCGGAAUAACUCAGGGAAACUUGUGCUAAUACCGAAUGUGCCCUUCGGGGGAAAGAUUUAUCGCCUUUAGAGCGGCCCGCGUCUGAUUAGCUAGUUGGUGAGGUAAAGGCUCACCAAGGCGACGAUCAGUAGCUGGUCUGAGAGGAUGAUCAGCCACAUUGGGACUGAGACACGGCCCAAACUCCUACGGGAGGCAGCAGUGGGGAAUCUUGCGCAAUGGGCGAAAGCCUGACGCAGCCAUGCCGCGUGAAUGAUGAAGGUCUUAGGAUUGUAAAAUUCUUUCACCGGGGACGAUAAUGACGGUACCCGGAGAGGAAGCCCCGGCUAACUUCGUGCCAGCAGCCGCGGUAAAAC
rnacentral:rRNA from 1 species